GAUGAACGCUGGCGGCAGGCCUAACACAUGCAAGUCGAACGGCAGCACGAUAAGAGCUUGCUCUUAUUGGUGGCGACUGGCGGACGGGUGAGGAAUACAUCGCCAACCUCUCUUUCGGUGGGGAUUAGGUUGCGCAAGCAAAGAUAAUACCUCAUAUGCUUAACGGUUGAGAUCAGGAGAACUUUUCAACCUUUGCGGUUGUCUUAGCCGGUGCGGUAUUAGCUAGUUGGGGCGGUAAGGGCCCACCAAGGCGACGCUACGUAGCCUGGCUGAGAGGAUGGUCGGCCACACUGGAACUGAGACACGGUCCAGACUCCUACGGGAGGCAGCAGUGGGGAAUAUUGGGCAAUGGGCGGAAGCCUGAUCCAGCCAUACCGCGUGGGUGAAGAAGGCCUUCGGGUUGUAAAGCCCUUUUGUUGGGAAAGAAAAGCAGCAGGUUGAUACGCCGCUGUUCUGACGGUACCCAAUGAAUAAGCACCGGCUAACUACGUG
rnacentral:rRNA from 1 species